CAGUCGCCACGGUAAUACGUAGGUGGCAAGCGUUGUCCGGAAUUAUUGGGCAUAAAGGGCAUCUAGGCGGCCUAACAAGUCAGGGGUGAAAACCUGCGGCUCAACCGCAGGCCUGCCUUUGAAACUGUAAGGCUGGAGUACCGGAGAGGUGGACGGAACUGCACGAGUAGAGGUGAAAUUCGUAGAUAUGUGCAGGAAUGCCGAUGAUGAAGAUAGUCCACUGGACGGAAACUGACGCUGAAGUGCGAAAGCCGGGGAGCGAACAGGAUUAGAGACCCCCGUAGUCCCUGUCUCUUAUACC
rnacentral:rRNA from 1 species